UGGAAUUUGUGGUCCUUACGC
rnacentral:siRNA from 1 species